AAUAGAUACCCAGGUAGUCCACGCCGUAAACGAUGGAUACUAGCUGUUUGAGCGCAAGUUUGAGUGGCUAAGCGAAAGUGAUAAGUAUCCCACCUGGGGAGUACGGGCGCAAGCCUGAAACUCAAAGGAAUUGACGGGGGCCCGCACAAGCGGUGGAGCAUGUGGUUUAAUUCGAUGAUACGCGAGGAACCUUACCAGGGCUUAAAUGUAGAUUGACGUAUUUGGAAACAGAUAUUUCUUCGGACAAUUUACAAGGUGCUGCAUGGUUGUCGUCAGCUCGUGCCGUGAGGUGUCAGGUUAAGUCCUAUAACGAGCGCAACCCCUGUUGUUAGUUGCCAGCGAGUAAUGUCGGGAACUCUAGCAAGACUGCCAGUGUAAACUGUGAGGAAGGUGGGGAUGACGUCAAAUCAUCACGGCCCUUACGUCCUGGGCCACACACGUGCUACAAUGGCCGGUACAGAGAGCAGCCACUUAGCGAUAAGGAGCGAAUCUAUAAAGCCGGUCACAGUUCGGA
rnacentral:rRNA from 1 species